GUGACUGCGUACCUUUUGUAUAAUGGGUCAGCGACUUAUAUUCUGUAGCAAGGUUAACCGAAUAGGGGAGCCGGAGGGAAACCGAGUCUUAAUUGGGCGUUAAGUUGCAGGGUAUAGACCCGAAACCCGGUGAUCUAGCCAUGGGCAGGUUGAAGGUUGGGUAACACUAACUGGAGGACCGAACCGACUAAUGUUGAAAAAUUAGCGGAUGACCUGUGGCUGGGGGUGAAAGGCCAAUCAAACCGGGAGAUAGCUGGUUCUCCCCGAAAGCUAUUUAGGUAGCGCCUCGUGAAUUCAUCUCCGGGGGUAGAGCACUGUUUCGGCUAGGGGGCCAUCCCGGCUUACCAACCCGAUGCAAACUGCGAAUACCGGAGAAUGUUAUCACGGGAGACACACGGCGGGUGCUAACGUCCGUCGUGAAGAGGGAAACAACCCAGACCGCCAGCUAAGGUCCCAAAGUCAUGGUUAAGUGGGAAACGAUGUGGGAAGGCCCAGACAGCCAGGAUGUUGGCUUAGAAGCAGCCAUCAUUUAAAGAAAGCGUAAUAGCUCACUGGUCGAGUCGGCCUGCGCGGAAGAUGUAACGGGGCUAAACCAUGCACCGAAGCUGCGGCAGCGACACUGAUGUGUUGUUGGGUAGGGGAGCGUUCUGUAAGCCUGUGAAGGUGUGUCGUGAGGCAUGCUGGAGGUAUCAGAAGUGCGAAUGCUGACAUAAGUAACGAUAAAGCGGGUGAAAAGCCCGCUCG
rnacentral:rRNA from 1 species